GAUGAACGCUAGCGGCAGGCUUAAUACAUGCAAGUCGAGGGGCAUCAAGGUACACGAAAGUGUAUUGUUGGCGACCGGCGGACGGGUGAGUAAUAGGUAGGUAACCUACCUCAUACUGAGGCAUAGCUGGGAGAAAUUCCAGGUAAUUCCUCAUGAGGUUAUAUGACACAUGUGAUAUAAUCAAAGGUAUCGCAAGGUACUGGUAUGAGAUGGGCUUACUGACCAUUAGCUAGUUGGUGAGAUAAGAGCUCACCAAGGCGAAGAUGGUUAGGGGUUUUGAGAGAGAGAUCCCCCACAUUGGAACUGAGAUACGGUCCAAACUCCUACGGGAGGCAGCAGUGAGGAAUAUUGGUCAAUGGACAGAAGUCUGAACCAGCCAAGUCGCGUGAAGGAAGAAGGUCUUACGGAUUGUAAACUUCUUUAGUCAGGGGAAUAAAAGAACGAUACGAGUUAUCGUGUUGAAAGUACUUUGUCGAAAAGGAAGUCGGCGUAACUCCGUGCC
rnacentral:rRNA from 1 species